UGGAUUUGGUCCAUGGGUCAUAGUUAGUGACCCUGAUCCCAAGUUUAUUUUGUGUUAGACCCUCUAACCUUUGAUCUGCGUCUUUUCUGUUUUGAUUUACAUAAUUCAUUUUUAAAUCAAAAAGAUGUGCGUAUAUAUGGUUGUGUGUAUCUGUAUAACCUAAAGCUAUAAUAUUUUGUUGUCUUGAAAGCAGAUACACUCUUCCUGGAGUCUGUUCAGGUUUCAGGACGAUUGACUAUAAUGAAAGAGACAGAAUAGGGUAAGGGAAGAUGGGUAUGCUAUCAGCCAUUUUCUUUGCCUUGUCAUUUAAUGCCAUAAUUUCAGAUUCUCUAUGUAAAAAGAAGGUCUGUGUAUUGUCAAAAUAAUAUACUCUCCAAGUUCUCCUGCUCAUUGACCCUUGAACCAGGAUUCUGGAUUGCUAGAGCUGCAGAAAUUCACCCACUUGGGUACUCUUAGAGCUCUACAGCAAGAAUAUGAUAGAAUGUCUGAUCUUUGUGCUGCAGAAAGCAAACUUUUGAAGAAUUCUAAGCAACAGAAAAUGGGUUAUGUGACUCAUCUGCUAUUUGGCAGCCACUAUUCCUUUUUUAGACUGCAGAACGGUACUGCCCCUGUUACCUCUAGAAUAGCCUGAGUCUGAGGAGUGCAGAGAAAAGAUAUAUCCAAAAGGAGAAUCCCUUUCUCUUGCAUAACUCUCAAUCCUUUACAAGUAAGUAGCAUUAUUUCAGAAUGUCUAUAUGCAUCAUUUUCAACUAAAGCAUACCUCAUCCUUAAACUUCCACUAUUUAACAGCUAAUCCAUUUCAAACUUGGUUUGAGCCUAGCAAUUGCAGAACUCAUAAAAUUGCUUGUGAAAUUACACACCAUAUUACUAGCAUAUACAUUGCAGUGCUCCAAUCAUGCUAACAGAUAAUAGAUUUUUCUUUAAGAAUUUUAUCAAAUAUUUCACUAUUUGGGGAAAUUUUAGAGGAGGGGAAGCCUGUAUUCAGGAUGAUAGAGGGAGCAGAGACUUACUGUCUCUCUUCCACAUUAUAAAUGAACUGCCUUUCCAGGUCCAACAUGCUGUCAGGUUGCUUCAGCUCGGUGUGAAUGUAAGUGUGGGGAUCAAACACACACACCUAUACACAUACAUAUUAAUAUGCAGAGGAUUUUAAAUAAUUGCAAAUGUCUUGUGGCUGUUUUAUUUCUACAAAAUUCUGUAAGAUGUAUACCAGAAAACAUAAUAAAGAUAAGCUCAGUUCUUCAUUGGGAAAAAAUAUUUUUAAAGAAAAUUUAGAAGUUUUUGCUGAAUUAAAGUAUCUUCAAUUUUAAUUACUGGAUUUGGAAGUUGAAAUGCCAUCCUUCAAUAUCACUGGUCUCAAAUUCAUUGAUAGAAUUUUUUCUUAAACUAAUAAGUGGGGUAAGUAUAAUCUCCUAAAUUGGUACCCACUGGCUGCUCCUAAACUGGUUUCCAGUCAUGUCCUCCAGUAUGUGAUUUUUAUAAAUUAAAGGUAAUAUUGUAUAUUAAAGUUCAAAUAAAGAUGUUCUUUAAGUGA
rnacentral:lncRNA from 1 species